rnacentral:lncRNA from 1 species
CUCAACUUCCGGCGGCCUGAAGUUCCAGACCCGGGACGCCGCGGAGGCCACGAUGCUCUCCUGAGAUCCCUAGGGGACAUCGGAGGAGGCGGAUCCCCUCAAAGGCUGUUGCUGGACUCCCCGAGGACGCGGACACAGGCACAGGGAGCCCAUCAGGGAGAUGCCAAGCGAGGAGUCCCGGAGAGUGGGGAGCUGCCCUGCCCCAGGCACCCGGGGCCACCCCAGCCUCUGUCAUUGGUGCUCAAGUUCCAGACGGUGAGCUGGCAGCAGACCAGAGGUGGCACUUGCUGACUUGUCCAGGGCACUUCUUCC